rnacentral:rRNA from 1 species
GUUAUAUGGUCAAGUGAAGAAGCGCAUACGGUGGAUGCCUUGGCAGUCAGAGGCGAUGAAAGACGUGGUAGCCUGCGAGCUUCGGGGAGUCGGCAAACAGACUUUGAUCCGGAGAUCUCUGAAUGGGGGAACCCACCUAGGAUAACCUAGGUAUCUUGUACUGAAUCCAUAGGUGCAAGAGGCGAACCAGGGGAACUGAAACAUCUAAGUACCCUGAGGAAAAGAAAUCAACCGAGAUUCCCUUAGUAGUGGCGAGCGAACGGGGAUUAGCCCUUAAGCUUCAUUGAUUUUAGCGGAACGCUCUGGAAAGUGCGGCCAUAGUGGGUGAUAGCCCCGUACGCGAAAGGAUCUUUGAAGUGAAAUCGAGUAGGACGGAGCACGAGAAACUUUGUCUGAACAUGGGGGGACCAUCCUCCAAGGCUAAAUACUACUGACUGACCGAUAGUGAACCAGUACCGUGAGGGAAAGGCGAAAAGAACCCCGGAGAGGGGAGUGAAAUAGAACCUGAAACCGUAUGCGUACAAGCAGUGGGAGCCUACUUGUUAGGUGACUGCGUACCUUUUGUAUAAUGGGUCAGCGACUUAUAUUCAGUGGCAAGCUUAACCGUAUAGGGUAGGCGUAGCGAAAGCGAGUCUUAAUAGGGCGUUUAGUCGCUGGGUAUAGACGAAACCGGGCGAUCUAUCCAUGAGCAGGUUGAAGGUUAGGUAACACUGACUGGAGGACCGAACCCACUCCCGUUGAAAAGGUAGGGGAUGACUUGUGGAUCGGAGUGAAAGGCUAAUCAAGCUCGGAGAUAGCUGGUUCUCCUCGAAAGCUAUUUAGGUAGCGCCUCAUGUAUCACUCUGGGGGGUAGAGCACUGUUUCGGCUAGGGGGUCAUCCCGACUUACCAAACCGAUGCAAACUCCGAAUACCCAGAAGUGCCGAGCAUGGGAGACACACGGCGGGUGCUAACGUCCGUCGUGAAAAGGGAAACAACCCAGACCGCCAGCUAAGGUCCCAAAGUUGUGGUUAAGUGGUAAACGAUGUGGGAAGGCUUAGACAGCUAGGAGGUUGGCUUAGAAGCAGCCAUCCUUUAAAGAAAGCGUAAUAGCUCACUAGUCGAGUCGGCCUGCGCGGAAGAUGUAACGGGCUCAAACCACACACCGAAGCUGCGGGUGUCACGUAAGUGACGCGGUAGAGGAGCGUUCUGUAAGCCUGUGAAGGUGAGUUGAGAAGCUUGCUGGAGGUAUCAGAAGUGCGAAUGCUGACAUGAGUAACGACAAUGGGUGUGAAAAACACCCACGCCGAAAGACCAAGGGUUCCUGCGCAACGUUAAUCGACGCAGGGUUAGUCGGUUCCUAAGGCGAGGCUGAAAAGCGUAGUCGAUGGGAAACAGGUUAAUAUUCCUGUACUUCUGGUUACUGCGAUGGAGGGACGGAGAAGGCUAGGCCAGCUUGGCGUUGGUUGUCCAAGUUUAAGGUGGUAGGCUGAAAUCUUAGGUAAAUCCGGGGUUUCAAGGCCGAGAGCUGAUGACGAGUCGUCUUUUAGAUGACGAAGUGGUUGAUGCCAUGCUUCCAAGAAAAGCUUCUAAGCUUCAGGUAACCAGGAACCGUACCCCAAACCGACACAGGUGGUCGGGUAGAGAAUACCAAGGCGCUUGAGAGAACUCGGGUGAAGGAACUAGGCAAAAUGGCACCGUAACUUCGGGAGAAGGUGCGCCGGCUAGGGUGAAGGAUUUACUCCGUAAGCUCUGGCUGGUCGAAGAUACCAGGCCGCUGCGACUGUAUUAAAAACACAGCACUCUGCAAACACGAAAGUGGACGUAUAGGGUGUGACGCCUGCCCGGUGCCGGAAGGUUAAUUGAUGGGGUUAGCGCAAGCGAAGCUCUUGAUCGAAGCCCCGGUAAACGGCGGCCGUAACUAUAACGGUCCUAAGGUAGCGAAAUUCCUUGUCGGGUAAGUUCCGACCUGCACGAAUGGCGUAACGAUGGCGGCGCUGUCUCCACGAGACUCAGUGAAAUUGAAAUCGCUGUGAAGAUGCAGUGUAUCCGCGGCUAGACGGAAAGACCCCGUGAACCUUUACUGUAGCUUUAGCACUGGACUUUGAGCCUGCUUGUGUAGGAUAGGUGGGAGGCUUUGAAGCGUGGACGCCAGUUCGCGUGGAGCCAUCCUUGAAAUACCACCCUGGCAUGCUUGAGGUUCUAACUCUGGUCCGUGAUCCGGAUCGAGGACAGUGUAUGGUGGGCAGUUUGACUGGGGCGGUCUCCUCCUAAAGAGUAACGGAGGAGUACGAAGGUGCGCUCAGACCGGUCGGAAAUCGGUCGCAGAGUAUAAAGGCAAAAGCGCGCUUGACUGCGAGACAGACACGUCGAGCAGGUACGAAAGUAGGUCUUAGUGAUCCGGUGGUUCUGUAUGGAAGGGCCAUCGCUCAACGGAUAAAAGGUACUCCGGGGAUAACAGGCUGAUACCGCCCAAGAGUUCAUAUCGACGGCGGUGUUUGGCACCUCGAUGUCGGCUCAUCACAUCCUGGGGCUGAAGCCGGUCCCAAGGGUAUGGCUGUUCGCCAUUUAAAGUGGUACGCGAGCUGGGUUUAGAACGUCGUGAGACAGUUCGGUCCCUAUCUGCCGUGGACGUUUGAGAUUUGAGAGGGGCUGCUCCUAGUACGAGAGGACCGGAGUGGACGAACCUCUGGUGUUCCGGUUGUCACGCCAGUGGCAUUGCCGGGUAGCUAUGUUCGGAAAAGAUAACCGCUGAAAGCAUCUAAGCGGGAAACUUGCCUCAAGAUGAGAUCUCACUGGGAACUUGAUUCCCCUGAAGGGCCGUCGAAGACUACGACGUUGAUAGGCUGGGUGUGUAAGCGUUGUGAGGCGUUGAGCUAACCAGUACUAAUUGCCCGUGAGGCUUGACCAUAUAACACCCAAACA